rnacentral:lncRNA from 1 species
GAAGUGGGAUGGGAUCAGUAAUGAAAAGGUAAUAUUAUCCUGAUACUGGUAGUGUUUGCUAUAGGCAGCCAUCGCUUCCUCUGGGAAGAAUUCUUAAGACUGGUGAUGACUGUAAGAAGGAUGGGGACAAAGAACGAAGGAGGGAUAAUCCCAGACUGUACCCCAUGCUUAUGGGCAAGGAAGAGAACCCGAAUCCAGGAAGCCAGGGACCCACAUGUUCUGCAGAGAAAUCCAAGGGGCCAAUAUAGCAGCCUCCUCCCAAAAAUUGGUCCAGGUUGUGAGUCUUAACCUUGAGACCACAAGUAACCAGAAGAGUUUUCAGAGCCCCAAUCUGGGGUUCCUUGGUGGUAGAGGGGGAGAAUCCAUGAUGACAAGCACAAAAGAAACAAAUGAUGAACAUAUGUGACAAAUAUGACAGAAGAAGUGAUGAAAGCCAUGGUGUACUAAGCAGGGGCCUCCCUCAGGUGUAGCUCACAGGCCUUAUGCCUGGAUGGUAUACCCAAGGAAGGAAAAGGCAUUUGGGAGCCAAUCCCUGGUACUAAAACAUGGAAAACCAGUCCCUAUGUCAGAUACCAGGACAAAUCCAGACCAAAAGUGAAAAACAUUCAAAGACAACGAAGACAAAAAAGAUGGCACCGCAGUAAGGCCACCCAAAGACAAAGAAGGACAAAAAUGGCCACUGCACACUCACUGCAUGCUGGCUACAUGCUUGCCACAACAUGCUCACUCAAAAAUGAAGAAAAUAAAAAAGAUGGCCACUGCAAAGCUUACUGCACGUUCACUUCACACUCGCCUCAUGCUCACCUCAUGCUUGCCUCAUGCUCACUUCAAGCUCACCUCACACAUACCUCACUCUUGCCUCACGCUAGUUGCAUGCUUACCUCACGCUCACUCUUGAACAGAACUGAGACUCAGAGAAGGGAAUGCUCCUCCUGGGUACCACCCCAUCCUGGGGCAUCUAGUCCCAAUAGGACAAAGAGCAUCCUCUCUCACUGAGACCUGAGUAGGCAGUCUAACUAGGGGAAGGAUAUUCAUCGGCAGGCAAGAGAGUCACAAACAGGCUCUGCUCCAAUUGUUAGGGGAUCUACAUACAGACCAAUCUGUACAUCUGCUACAAAUGUGUAUGUAGCCUAAGUCUAGCUCCUGCAUUAUCUUUUUUUGUUUUUUAAAUGUUUAGAUGCUUUGAGCCACCAUGGGUCCAGGUUAUUUAAUUCUGUAGGUAUUCUUGUGGUGGUUUUGACUACUCUGGUUCACUCAAUUCUAUCCUCCACUCUUCCAAAAGACUCCUGGAGCACCUUCUU